rnacentral:lncRNA from 1 species
GCAGCAACACUUGUUCUAUUGCUGAUCUGGAGAGUGAUCUUGCCUUCCCUCAGCCUCCUAACUUUUUUCAGACCCUGCGUAAAAGUGCACAAAUGAGCAUCUGAAUCAGAAUCAAGAAUCCAACUAGAAGAAGAAGAAAUCGUUAGAUUAGUUUCAAUAACGAGCAAUUCAGACGUAUCUUUAGAAGGCCCAUCCUUCUUCCUGCUCUUGACAGUCGUCAGGUAGGUC